rnacentral:tRNA from 1 species
GCGGGGUUAGCUCAGCUGGGAGAGCGUCAGACUGAAGUCCAACUUCAGGAUUCUAUAAUCUGAAGGCCGUGCGUUCGAUCCGCACACACCGCA